rnacentral:rRNA from 1 species
UACAGAGGUCUCAAGCGUUGUCCGGAAUUAUUGGGCGUAAAGAGCUCGUAGGCGGCUUGUCGCGUCGUCCGUGAAAACCUGCGGCUCAACUGCAGGCUGGCGGUCGAUACGGGCAGGCUGGAGUUCGGUAGGGGAGACUGGAAUUCCUGGUGUAGCGGUGAAAUGCGCAGAUAUCAGGAGGAACACCGGUGGCGAAGGCGGAUCUCUGGGCCAUAACUGACGCUGAGGAGCGAAAGCAUGGGGAGCGAACAGG